GUAAAGGAAGAAAAAAAAAAUAUUUUAUUUAUUUAUUUAUUAUUUAUUUUUUUACCGAUGGAUUUCCAGAUUGGUGGAGACCAAACAGCUAAAUAACUGCUGUUAUCCCCAGCUUGGAUGCUACUAUCACACUGUCAGCUGUGACAGAGCACUAUAACCUUGGGCAUGGAUGUCAGCCUUACAAUGAUAGAUAAAGCUGCGAGCGGCAAUUUACUGGGUCGAGGCAGUCCGGAAACACUGGGACAUAAGUGGUGAAAGAUGACGCAAACGUUGAAGCCGGAGCCCACUGCAUGCUGGAGCCCUGGGUGAGCACCCAUGCCACCCCAAAGACACAUCCAGACCGUCAACCUCCAGUCAAGUUGAAGCUGGGUGGAGCUAUGCUGGGAAUUACCUUACAUCACCAAACUGUGUAAGGUAAUAGCAGUGAAAACAGUGUGUCCCACCCUAACCAGAGAGUGAGGGAGCUGUCAAUUAUGCAUAGUCUUUAGAAGAGGUCUAAUUAGGUAACAUAAGUGAACACACCUGUGUGGGUGGGUUUUGUAUAAGGUUUGUCUCUCAGACGUGAGGAACAAACAGUAAUAGGAGACGUUCCCAGCUCUUUUACUUAAGUAAAAGCAGCAAUAUAUCAGUGUAGACAUACUUUGUUUUAAAUAAAAGCUCUAUGUUCAAAAUUUACUUAAAGGGCCAUUUCACCCCAGAAUCAUACAUAUUGUUCUUCUCUUACCUAUAGUGCUAUUUAUCAGUCUAGAUUGUUUUGGUGUG